CAACACUAAAAUGAGUGCUGAAAAGAGUCGUAUUUCAAUUCUCGGUGGCACAAAUCUAUAAUCGUGUUAUACUGUGUAAACCUUUUUCUGUGCGAAAAUCUGUCGUUCCCAUUCUGAAGUUGUAUUGAAAAAUGAUGGAUUAGAUGUCCGUUUCACCUAACAAAAAUUGAAAACUUGCGACAAUUAUCUCAAUUUUCAUUGAACUAAAUAGUAAAGUAAAAAAUAACAAAAAAAAACAUAAGAAACUUCCAAAUUAGACCUUAUAAUGAAAUUGCCUUUAACCAUUUUAUAAAUUAUUAUUAUUAUUUAGAUCAAAUAUUACAAAAAGACAAAAAAUGAAACCAAAAAUCUUUAAAAAAAAAAUAUUUUUAGAUAUGCAUGUUAUCGAUAUUAAUAUACAGAGAACUGUUAGUUACAAAAUAAUUAUUAUAAAAGAGAAUAAAAAGUAAUUAUACGAUUAAAGAUAUUAUAUUAAAAUAUAUUUUAAAAAAAGGAAAAAGAGAGAAAGAAGCCAGGAUAAAGGAAAACAAUUAACCUAAGGUGAAGCUUAUUCCACACACAUACACACACAAAAACGAACUUUAUUAUAAAUGUGAGCGAAUUAACACCUAAUCCGCAUAAUAACCAUAUAUUUCAACGUAGAAACAACAACAAUAACAAAAAACGAUUAGAAAUUUCUAAUUGCGUUAGGUAAUUUUAGAUUUAUAAAUAUUAUAAUGUCGUCAAUUUGAAUAUUAAAUCUGGCGACUCCAGAUUGCACAGACAUUUCAAAUUGAAUUUUAUUUGAUACACGAAUUAAUGACUAAUUUUAGUUCGAAAUCGAGAUAUAAACAAAAAUAUUUAUAGAAAUAUUUUACUUACAAUCAGUAAAUGAAUUUCCUGUGUAGAUUAAGCAACAGCUGGUGCACAAUUACAUACGAAUAGUUUGUUUACGCCACAUAGGGAAUUUGAGCAUCACGUCAGAUUAGUUCAUUAAUUUAUGAGUCAAGUAACUAACAAGCUUCACAUUGAUGAAAGUAUCAUUUCCUUCAAAAUAGUGAUAAUAUUGCGCAAAUGAAACUGUUUUCUUUGAAAUAACUGCCAAGACUAGUUUGUCAAAUCAAACGCAGCGUCGUACAUGCAUGAUAUCCCCAUAUCAAAGUACAUUGAAACUAAAAUUCUAAAAUACAUUUGUUCAUCCACUGAUUCGCCCAAAAAGCAAACUUUGACGCGCUCUCACGCGCCGUGAAUACAUUGAGGAUACUUUAAAGAUAAACGAUGUUUGUCUAUUUCGAUCCUUUGUUGCAGAAAAUAUACCAUGCAGAAAUUAUGUGCAGGUGGCGCUGACUACACGCUGAAAUAUGAUGCUUAACGUGGUGCUUAAAUUCCUAUUAUCAAUGCUUAUGCGUAAACAAACUAUACUUAUGUGGUUGUGCACCCCGUGGUGGAUGAACAGCUGUUGCUAAUUAUUUACGAUGUCUAAUGGGUAUAUAAAUGAAAGAUAAAACACAAAUUAAUAAAUGGAUGCCAAUAGCUUAUAAUGAAAAAUAAAUUUAGACAAAUGUUUGUUUCUAGAAGGGGAGAAAAGAAGUAUUAAUUAACCGCCAACAUUAUAACAAUAUUAAUCUAGAUGAUGACUGUUUAGAAUUAUUAAAAAUUUAAAAAAAAAUUGAGAAAAUCUGAUUAUGCAUCAAUUAGAAUUAUUAAAAUUGAAAAUUAAACAUAAAAAGAGAAACUCUGUUUAUGCAUUAAAAUUGUAUAAGUCGCUGGUCGAUUUUAUUAUAGAAACAUGUUAUAAAAAACCACUUUACGAUGGUAUAUGAAUGUACUAAAUAGUUUGUGUGUAAAAAAAAAGUUUUGCAAAAUUAUAAUAUUAACAUUAUCAAGAACGAAAGUUGAAUGUUUUGAUCAAACAAAAACCGAAAAAAAUCACUAAUUUUAUUUAAUAGAAACAUGAUUUUAUCAACCCACCGCAACGUUUCAUGACAUUGAAAUGUGAUAUUCGACCUAUUCCGAAAUUGAUCAUAUUUUCAGUCAGACGGUGCUUAUAAACGACAUAACCUAACAACUGGUGGCUAGAUUUUCAUGAGUUAUUUUUAAUGUAAAACAUUAUUCAUUGUAUUUUAACGUGUGCCCACUCGGUACAUUGUGUUUACAUGGUUUACAUAGACGGUUCACUGCUAUGUAGAGUUUAGUUCGGAUGAAAAAUAUGAGCUGUAGUCUUGCUUUCGUGUAUUUAUUCGCCUCGGAUCAACAACAUUCACACGAAAACUCCACUUUUAAUCCUUAUAUGUAAAAUACUAUUGUCGAACGAAUACGAGUUGUGGUAGACUACUUGAUUUUUUGAUCGGUCGUCGAAGUGAUUUAUUUGGGUGUUUGUCUCUAAAACCACAUUUCGUCGUACAAAUUUCCUCUCUAGGUAUCAUUACUCUAAGGUUUGUCUAUCUCAGUUGUCCUGUGCACAAAACGUUGUUUAUACCUCGACAGCAAAGUGAUUUUUUGAGCACACGUCCUAAAUUUAUUAACUGGUGCUGAAAAAAUCGACUUUCCCUGUCUUGGUACAAAAAAUACUAAUCUGUUCGCCUAUAUUUCUCCUUUGGUGGCAGCAUUGCCUACAAUUUAAGUAAAUUCACUUUUCCAAUAUAAUAACUUGCAAAAUAACUCGUGAAAAUUUCGAUUUUCCGUUUGUGACAGUUUAUGUUGUCUGAAACACCGGCAUAUUAUUAUGAAAUUAAAAUUUUUCGAUUCUAAUUUAUUUACCAAGUGGACGAAAAAGGAUAGGAUACUUUACAGCGAGAGUAAAAUUCCUAUUUUUCUACGAGGUAAAUCCAACCUUUUUCAUGCUUCACGUCAAGUGACAAAACGAGGAUUUGGCCACCAACGUUGAUCGUAACAGCUGUACUUCAAUUCCAAGUUCAAAUGAAGCAAUCAUAGUAAACGUAAGUUAAUUAUAUUUUGUGGGUAAAGCUAAAAUCGCACUCAACUCCGAUUUGAAAAUAGUUCAUCCGUUUAAAUGACCGUUAGACAAAAGCAAUGAAUCAAAAUGAAUUUUUGAGAAAGAACGUCACCUAAACGGAGGCAAAAUUUAAUAGUCUCGUAAAUAGUGCUCAAUUUUCUCUAUGUUUAUUUGACAGCUGUCACGCAAACGAAGUAAAGGUACGUGUUUUAUCACUGGACGCAUGAAAAAGCAUUUUUCUGUUAUUUUUGACAUAUUUCGAUAAACAAUCAAACUCAGUCAUUUAAAACGAAAGAGAAGAACGAAAUAUUUCUCUCGCUAUUCGAAAUAAUGAAUGAAAAAAAUACCAAGAAAUUAUUAAAUAUAAAAAAGGAAGAAAAUUAAAAUAAUCCAACCCAAUGUGUUCACAUCAUUAAU